rnacentral:rRNA from 1 species
GACGAACGCUGGCGGCGUGCUUAACACAUGCAAGUCGAACGGAAAGGCCCUGCUUUUGUGGGGUGCUCGAGUGGCGAACGGGUGAGUAACACGUGAGUAACCUGCCCUUGACUUUGGGAUAACUUCAGGAAACUGGGGCUAAUACCGGAUAGGAGCUCCUGCUGCAUGGUGGGGGUUGGAAGGUUUCGGCGGUUGGGGAUGGACUCGCGGCUUAUCAGCUUGUUGGUGGGGUAGUGGCUUACCAAGGCUUUGACGGGUAGCCGGCCUGAGAGGGUGACCGGCCACAUUGGGACUGAGAUACGGCCCAGACUCCUACGGGAGGCAGCAGUGGGGAAUAUUGCACAAUGGGCGGAAGCCUGAUGCAGCAACGCCGCGUGCGGGAUGACGGCCUUCGGGUUGUAAACCGCUUUCGCCUGUGACGAAGCGUGAGUGACGGUAAUGGGUAAAGAAGCACCGGCUAACUACGUG